AGCGAACGCUAGCGGAUGGCUUAACACAUGCAAGUCGAGCGGGCAGCUUCGGCUGUCUAGCGGCGAACGGGUGCGUAACACGUGGGUAAUCUGCCUUCUGGUGGGGGAUAACCCGACGAAAGUCGGGCUAAUACCGCAUAUGGCCUACGGGUCAAAGCAGCAAUGCGCCAGUUGAUGAGCCCGCGGCCCAUUAUUUAAUCCUAGUUGGCGGGGUAACGGCCCACCAAGGGUACGAUGGGUAGCUGGUCUGAGAGGACGAUCAGCCACACUGGGACUGAGACACGGCCCAGACUCCUACGGGAGGCAGCAGUGGGGAAUAUUGCGCAAUGGGCGAAAGCCUGACGCAGCCAAUCCGCGUGGGUGAUGAAGGCCUUCGGUUGUAAAGACCUGUCGUGAGGGACGAAGUU
rnacentral:rRNA from 1 species